CCUAAUUUUCCGGCCCAUCUUUCCCACUAAACACUGUUGCUACAAAACUGGGACGUGGGCAGAAUGCAGUUGACGACCUCUCUUAUAUAAUAUAAACCCUUGCAACCAAAUAUCCACCUCCAUACAUCCUUCUGUUUGUUUGCAGUACAAUUCGCCUGUGACCUCCGUAUACAACCAACAAUUAUCGCCCAAUAUCUGAUUGAUAAUCAAGAAAUAUGGCGAUGUCGAGGGCGAGCUCUUGCUUUGCAUACCCUUAUCGUUUCUUCACCGUUGUUGCUUAUGCGGGAUUUGGUGCUCCCCCAAUUCGUCAUCCAAAGGGUAACCUCCAAAUUCUCAAUCGAAGUCGCUUAGUUACGUUACGCCCUUUGUGAGCAGCUCCAUCAUCAGAAAGGAAGUUCAAGAAGAUGAAGACCUUCAAUUAUCAAUGGCAGUUGCUCUACUCUUCUUCUCCUUCCUUCUCAGGGUUUAUCCUGCUAUAAUAUAAACGAGAUUGAUUCAUUUUGGCCUACAUUAUCGUCUUGAGUCUCUUGACUUUAAUCGUCUUUAUCACUGUCGGACUGGAUUCUGAUAACCAGUAGUCAUUGUCGAAGAACAAGGGCACCAAUUGAGGCCGACUUUGUAUCACCUCUGCCAAGAGUAUUAACGUUCACCACACAUGUCUCACCAGUUGAUGUCGGCGCCAUCUUGUGUUUGUUUGUAACUAGCAAUUGACCGCUUCUUCAAGAGCUUGCCAAGCACGGGGGCUAUCAACUACUUGUAACUAACUGAGCGAAUUAUUUGUAUGUCUUCGGAAACUUUUGGAAAAAUCACAUACCAGGUUCUAGCAAAUGAUUGAGUGCAGUUUGUGUAUUUGUUCUACAAUCUGAUUACAAAAAACUAUCCAAUACCAUGACCAUCAGUUCUUAAAUUUUCAUAAUUCUAAUGUUGUUGAUAUUAAAGUAUAUUGAUAUAUUCUCACAUUUCUGGUGCAGGCCUGCCAUUGAGAUUGCUAAUGAAUUGAAUUCUCUAUACUUACUUGCUAACUAUAUUGAGGUUAAUUUUUUCGGUUGUUACUUUGCCUAUUAUUUUGUAGAUAUAUGUUGAGUUCAACAUUUACAUUUAGGAUUUGUAGUCUCUGCAUUUAAAAUACAGAUGUAAUGUUCCUCUGCUGUUGAUGAAUCACGUAAGUACACAAAAUGAGCCAACCAUGGUCAGGUAUCUUUCAUGUGAAGUUAAAUUUAUAUUCUCUGAAGCUUGUAUUGCACUAAAAACAUUACACAUUUAUCUUUAUUUUGUUGCAGGCGCUAAUUGAUUAUAUUAAAAGUGACUUUGACAUCAAUGUUCACUGAGAACAUUACACACGCUGAACGGGUUCGGGUCAGUUUCAGGUUGAACCCGCGAACCCGUUUAGGUUAACGGGUCGGGUUCGGGUCAACCUGGUCGGGUUAGCGGGUUGACCCGUUUAACACAUUUAUAUUAUAUUAUAUUUUUUUGCAAUAUGUUUUGUGUCAUAAAUUAAAUGGGGUAUGUUUUUAUUCCAUAAUUAUUACUUAAAAAGAGAAAUUAAUAUAAGAUUUUGUAAUUUAAAUAUAACUGUGUUACAUACAUUUGUGUUUUUUAAUUAAAAUUUAAUUUUAAUAUAGUUAUUUCAGAAAAUAAAAUAAAAAAUAAAAAAAGUCGGGUUAAACAGGUUGUGUUCGGGACUUCGGGUCAACCCGCGAAAUUUCGGGGUCGUGUUCAGGGUCAUAUGAAUGAUACUAUUUUUGGGUUCGGGUUCGUGUAAAAUUUUAUGGUUCGGGUCGGGUUAAACCCGCUAACCGGCGAACCCGACCCGCUUAGCACCCCUAAUUGAAGGUUUGAACCAUUCCUUAUUAAUAUUCUUUUAGCCCAAUCUUCUGAGGCUCUCAAAUUGGCAAUAUGGACAGGCAUGCGGGCUGAGUGACAGCUCCAAUCAAGCCCGGGUCAAAACAUAUCAUACUAGGCAGUUCAUUCAGGUGCAUAUAUUGAGUCUGCAAUAACAAAAUGCAUGGGCGAUAAAUCAUCUUCGGGU